GAUGAACGCUGGCGGCGUGCCUAAUACAUGCAAGUCGGACGGAGCGCUUCGGCGCUCAGUGGCGAACGGGUGAGUAGCACAUGGGCAACCUGCCCUUCAGAGGGGGACAACAGCUGGAAACGACUGCUAAUACCGCAUAAGCCCACGGCCCGGCAUCGGGCUGAGGGAAAAGGAUUUAUUCGCUUCAGGAUGGACUCGCGUCCAAUUAGCUAGUUGGUGAGGUAACGGCCCACCAAGGCGACGAUUGGUAGCCGGACUGAGAGGUUGAACGGCCACAUUGGGACUGAGACACGGCCCAG
rnacentral:rRNA from 1 species